rnacentral:lncRNA from 1 species
CCAUAAGACGCCUGACACCGGACCAACCAGUGGUACGGUCGUCAGAGUCAGGACUUAAUGCGAUGAAUCUCCACUCCUUUCCCCCGACGCUGCCGCCUACGCAAAGACGCUAGCCAGCACGCCAUCCAACUUAGGAGUGGGGGGGCAACUGUUGGGAUAUACCGACCGAUCCCCCUCAUGCCGACUCACCGUCGGGCCCGUCUGACUAGCGCCCGACUCUGCCAACCGACGACUGCCGACACCGACCGAUCGAGUAUACGUCGGUCGGACAGACCCUCUCUGCUCUCGACUGGCCGAACUAUGGAGCCCGAUAUCCGACUUCCGCAACGCGCCCGAUUGACCAUCGGAGGGUCCCUAGAUUUUUACCCGACAUUCCUCAACCAGGCGCCGACGUAUAGUCGGUCGGCUCCUUCAAACGCCGUAUGACUACUGGAGACUGUCCUUCCUGACAGCGGUGUGCGGCAUAGCCACCCUGGGGUAUUAUCCCACCUAAGGCACGGGUCAACCCUAGUGAUUUAACAUAAUUGAUGGGAUGGACGGCAUCUAGAUUAGUCAAUAUCAUGCUCCAAAUCUAGUAUCCAGAUCGGACAUAUGAUGGUCGCACACUCCUUAGGACAAUGCCCUAAAGAAUAUGCAAGGCCUGUCUUCCAAAGCAAACUCACUAAUUUUUAUUGAUUAAAAAAAAAGUAGUUCACCAAUAAUUCAUGAGAUUCAUAAAUCAAAAUUAAUAUUUAUUUAAGAAGUAAAUAUCAUCUAAGGUCCUAUUCUCCUAACUGCUCAGUCUCAAGCCCCAUAUAAUCUUCCAAAUCUAAAAAAAAUAGAAAAGAG